rnacentral:misc_RNA from 1 species
GUUUAUUUAUAUUUUUGUUUUGGUCCUAUAUAUUACAUACAUGUAUUAUAACUUGCAUAAGUUAAAAAAAAGUGCUGACGUCAUCACGGUCUUCCAUAUUUUAGUCAAUUUCUUUAAUUUCUUUAAGUCUUUAAAAUCUAUUAAAACUUUAGUCCAUUAUUUGUGAAAUUGUGGUCAAAUUUGAGAUCAUCGUUUAGAAAUGAUCUCCACGCUGCAAUGUGUAUUUUUGUUUUUGUAUAUUAUAAAAUUAAUACUGGCUUUUUUAUUAUAAAAAAUGUUUGUGUACUAAGAUAAAUCUCUUACAACAUACCAUUAAAUGUACAUUUUUUUUCAUUUUUAUUAUUUUCAUCAAUUUUACCACCUAAUAUAUUGAUGGUACAUAUAUUUGAUGUUAUUAUUUGUUAAUCUGUUUUUUUAUUAUAACCUGAUAUUUAUGAAUUUUGAAUUUGAAUUAAAUAAAAACAAAUAAAUG